AGAGUUUGAUCCUGGCUCAGACGAACGCUGGCGGCAGGCCUAACACAUGCAAUGUCGAACGCGUGUAGCAAUACACGAGUGGCGCACGGGUGAGUAACACGUGGGAAUCAACCCAGAGGUUCGGAAUAACCGCGGGAAACUGCGGCUAAUACCGGAUAUCCCCUACGGGGGAAAGAUUUAUCGCCUUUGGACGAGCCCGCGUCCGAUUAGCUAGUUGGUGAGGUAACGGCUCACCAAGGCUCCGAUCGGUAGCUGGUCUGAGAGGACGACCAGCCACACUGGAACUGAGAUACGGUCCAGACUCCUACGGGAGGCAGCAGUGGGGAAUAUUGGGCAAUGGAGGCAACUCUGACCCAGCCAUGCCGCGUGGGUGACGAAGGUCUUCGGAUUGUAAAGCCCUUUCGGCGGGGACGAUGAUGACGGUACCCGCAGAAGAAGCCCCGGCUAACUUCGUGCCAGCAGCCGCGGUAAUACGAAGGGGGCUAGCGUUGUUCGGAAUUACUGGGCGUAAAGCGUGCGCAGGCGGUUCGUUAAGUUCGAUGUGAAAGCCCCGGGCUCAACCUGGGAAUGGCAUUGGAAACUGGCGAGCUUGAGUGUGGCAGAGGGGGGUGGAAUUCCGCGUGUAGCAGUGAAAUGCGUAGAGAUGCGGAGGAACACCGAUGGCGAAGGCAGCCCCCUGGGCCAACACUGACGCUCAGGCACGAAAGCGUGGGGAGCAAACAGGAUUAGAUACCCUGGUUAGUCCACGCCCUAAACGAUGCUCACUAGGUGUUGGGGAAGCGAUUCCUUGGUACCGUAGCUAACGCGUGAAGUGAGCCGCCUGGGGAUACGGCCGCAAGGUUAAACUUAAAGGAAUUGACGG
rnacentral:rRNA from 1 species